CCCCACUCAGGAUCUCACCUGGAGAGUUUCCGGUACUCUACCAGUCUCGUCUACGGGGGGGAGAGUCGAGCAGAGGCCUCCCCUUUCCAUUCCUAGCCUGGCCAGUGGCUAGCGAGUGGAAGGCCAUCUGCUACAAGU
rnacentral:snoRNA from 1 species